GAUGAACGCUGGCGGCGUGCCUAAUACAUGCAAGUCGAGCGAACAGACGAGGAGCUUGCUCCUCUGACGUUAGCGGCGGACGGGUGAGUAACACGUGGAUAACCUACCUAUAAGACUGGGAUAACUUCGGGAAACCGGAGCUAAUACCGGAUAAUAUAUUGAACCGCAUGGUUCAAUAGUGAAAGACGGUUUUGCUGUCACUUAUAGAUGGAUCCGCGCGGCAUUAGCUAGUUGGUAAGGUAACGGCUUACCAAGGCAACGAUGCGUAGCCGACCGGAGAGGGGGGUAGGCGACACUGGAACUGAGACACGGUCCAGACUCCUACGGGAGGCAGCAGUAGGGAAUCUUCCGCAAUGGGCGAAAGCUUGACGGAGCAACGCCGCGUGAGUGAUGAAGGUCUUCGGAUCGUAAAACUCUGUUAUUAGGGAAGAACAAAUGUGUAAGUAACUAUGCACGUCUUGACGGUACCUAAUCAGAAAGCAACGGCUAACUACGUG
rnacentral:rRNA from 1 species